rnacentral:rRNA from 1 species
UAUUGGGNAAUGCGUAAGUCCUGAUCCAGCAAUGCCGCGUGUGCGAGAGGCUUCGGGUCGUAAAGCACUUGUUCGGGAUGAGCGUCAUAACACCAUGCUGACGAUACCGAAAGAAUAAGCACCGGCUAACUACAGUGCCAGCAGCCAGUGGUAAUACAGUAGGGUGCAAGCAGUAUCGGAUCACUGGGCGUAAAGGGUGCGCGGGUGGCUUGCCAAGACCCCUGUACCUACGGCCCAACCGUAGUGCAGCGGAGGUUACUGGUAGGCUGAUAUGCAGGGGGGUAGAAUUCCAGGUGUAGCGGUGAAAUGCGUAGAUAUCUGGAGGAAUACCGAAUGCGAAGGCAACCCCCUGGGCCAUAACUGACACUGAGGCNCGAGCGUGAGCCAACAGGAUAUACCCUGGUAGUCCACGCCNUACAUGUCNACUAGUCGUCGAGCUCCUCGGUGACGAAGCUAACGCAUGAAGUCGACCGCCUGGGGAUUACNGCNCGNCAAGGUUAAAA